GAAAAAAUUUGACAUUGUAUUUCACAUUUAAAGUCGUGACUGCCGGGCAAUGGUAUUAUAUGUUUCGAGACGAUAUCAGUGACGAAUGAGACGCGAAAGUGUACACACGGAAAAUAUAAACACUGUCUUAUGUGCGAUACGAACGUUUCAAAUUCUUAUUAGCAGAAUUCUUGUACCUUCUUAAUUAUAAACUCUCUAUUGUUCAACAUUACAUCACAGUUCUGUGACUAAGAAGUUAUUUUUAUUAUAAACGAAUAAAAAGGAUGGUUAGUUUCAAAAUUUCCGCACCGGGCCGAAUCGUCUUAGCCGGAGAGCAUUCAGCAAUGUAUCAAAAACACUUUGUCUCGACCAGUUUAGACCGUCGUACCAAACUCACAUUUCGUGAAUUACCAGAAGGGUGGCCAAUUGAAAUAGAAUUCCCAGAUGUGAAUCUACAGAUUCAAGUACCUUUAGAAGAAGUUCGAAGCUUCUUUUCUGAAGAGCAAGAGAACCAAUUAAAUCUAAACUUUAGGAUUAAAUACGUGAAAUCCUUCAUUACCUUCAACGGCAUGUGGCAGUCGUUCACGCAGAGAUUUAGUUUACAAAUGUUUUUUUACUUGCUUUAUAGUAUUGCUGUCUAUGAGAAACUUGACAUUAGAUCUUUUCACGUGCACGUGACCACGAAUAUACCGCUCGAUGCUGGUCUUGGCAGUUCGACAUCAUUCGCUGUGUGUCUGGCUGCGUGUUUUCUUCAUUGGUGUCGUUUACAGAGUGAUCAUCAUGAAAAUAUUGAAUUUAAUCACAUAGACUUUUUGAUGGAUGUUGGAGUGUACGUUAAAAAUUGCGAGGAACGUAUGCAAGACUAUCAAUAUACGCAGAUCGAUACCGACGUUUGUGUAUUCGGUUUUGCAACAAAUAAUCUACUUGCCGAUAAUUACGUAGAGUACGUUUUUGAGGAUUUCGAAGAGAUGGCAAGAAUAAAGAUUCUACUGAUCGAUUCAGGUAUUCGCCAGGAAAAGUGCGAUCAAGCAAGACAAAUGGCACAGCUGAAAACUCAAUCUUCUUUUGCGUUUGAUUACAUGUUCAAUAUAUUAAAUAAUUUAUCAUUAAACAUGUAUUAUUGGCUCAAUUUACUAAGUAUUAAUAUUCGGAAUGGCAAUUUAGCUGAGCAAGAAUUUUAUUAUGAAAAAUUACAGGCGCAUCAUUUCGAACAUUCCCUUAGACACCGGUCUUGGCAGUUCGACAUCAUAUUCGCAGCAUGCUUUCUUCUUUGGGAAGAUAUACAGGAUAAUACACGUGAUAUUCGUGAUUUGAUCAUCUUCUUUUGAUGCCAGUUAAACGUUUCGCUAAAAGAUGCGAACAAGUGAUGCAAGACUUUGGAUGUAAGCAGAUCGAUGCCGACGUUUGUAUUUGCCAAGAAAAGUACGAUCAACCAAUAAAAAUGGCAGAGCUGAAAUCUGCAUCUCCUGCGUCUUCUAAACCGUAAUAUUCGAAAUGUCAAUUUACUUCAACAGCAAUUGUAUUAUGAUAAAUUACAGGCGCAUCAUCUCGAACAUUCCCUUAGACACCGGUCUUGGCAGUUCGACAUCAUAUUCGCAGCAUGCUUUCUUCUUUAGGAGGAUAUAAAGGAUAAUACACGUGAAAAAAAAUAUUCGUGAUUUGAUCAUCUUCUUUUGAUGCCAGUUAGAUGUUUCGCUAAAAGAUGCGAACAAGUGAUGCAAGACUUUGGAUGUGAGCAGAUCGAUGCCGACAUUUGUAUUUGCCAAGAAAAGUACGAUCAACCAAUAAAAAUGGCAGAGCUGAAAUCUGCAUCUCCUGCGUCUUCUAAACCGUAAUAUUCGAAAUGUCAAUUUACUUCAACAGCAAUUGUAUUAUGAUAAAUUACAGUAUUACAUUAAAGAGACUCAACUAUUAUUAAAGAAUCAUGAAAAAUCCAAUGAGCCAUUCAAUCAUAUUUUCGAAAAAGCAAGCUCCAUUGAAUACUCUGCAAAGCUUACAGGUUUUGGACCUAGAUAUUCAUAUUUUGUGUUACUACCGAGCUUUACAAACGGAGAAAUCGUGGAUAUUAUAAUACAGUUAUAGGUUACAAAUUUAACUUCUACACUUACAAGCAUUAAUCGUGAUGCUGUAACACUUAAUCAAUACCAUUGUGAUUAAUUCUGUUAAAAUUAUUGCGUUUAUUAUAUAUAAAUGACUAAAUAAUAACAUCUAAUUGAAUGUAAAAAAUUUGUCGGAAUUAUUAACUUAAUUACUGUAGUAUUCAAAGAAAUGACGAAAAGUAUACAU